GCUCUCGUAGCCCAACGGCAGAGGCAGCGGACUUAAAAUCCGUAUAGUAUGAGUUCGAAUCUCAUCGGGAGCACCA
rnacentral:tRNA from 1 species